GCGGGAGUAACUCAGUUGGCAGAGUAUCUGCUUCCCAAGCAGAAUGUCGCGGGUUCGAUCCCCGUCUCCCGCUCCA
rnacentral:tRNA from 1 species